rnacentral:rRNA from 1 species
GACGAACGCUGGCGGCGUGCUUUACACAUGCAAGUCGAACGGUAACAGGCCGCAAGGUGCUGACGAGUGGCGAACGGGUGAGUAAUGCAUCGGAACGUGCCCAGUCGUGGGGGAUAACGCAGCGAAAGCUGCGCUAAUACCGCAUACGAUCUAUGGAUGAAAGCGGGGGACCGAAAGGCCUCGCGCGAUUGGAUCGGCCGAUGUCAGAUUAGGUAGUUGGUGGGGUAAAGGCUCACCAAGCCAACGAUCUGUAGCUGGUCUGAGAGGACGACCAGCCACACUGGGACUGAGACACGGCCCAGACUCCUACGGGAGGCAGCAGUGGGGAAUUUUGGACAAUGGGCGCAAGCCUGAUCCAGCAAUGCCGCGUGCAGGAAGAAGGCCUUCGGGUUGUAAACUGCUUUUGUACGGAACGAAAAGGCUCUGGUUAAUACCUGGGGCUCAUGACGGUACCGUAAGAAUAAGCACCGGCUAACUACGUGCCAGCCGCCGCAGUAAUAC